rnacentral:tmRNA from 1 species
GGGGACGAAAGGGUUCGACAGCGGUUGAUGUCUCGUUGCUGCGUGUCGAGCUGGCGUCGCUCGUGAAACCGCGCCACCACUCCCUAACUGGCGAAUCCAGGGAACUCGCCCUCGCCGCUUAACCGCGGUGACGCCGCUCUCCAUCCGCUGCCGGAUCGGAGGGGAUGCGGCGCCGACUUAUCCGGCUGCUCGUUGCGACUCGCGGGAGCGCAGCGCUAAGACCAGUCCCGCUCACCCGUUGGUAACGGUAGGCUCCCGCGCCGGCCGACGGGGACAUCUCAAGCGAGAGCUACGCACGUAGAGGCAGCGGCGCACGGCCGUCUGGACGGGGAGUUCGAUUCUCCCCCGUCUCCACCA